GGACAGCGAGUGGCAAUUCCCCUCCCUUAAUGAAGACACCCAGCCAGGCCUGUUUCUUCACAGCCAGCCAUUAACUCAUGAUUCACCGUCGUCAGAAACCCCGCCAGGCCCUUUCCUUCAC